ACGGAAAGGACAUAUCAGGGAAAAUGGGCUAUGACAGAUGUAUACAGAUUCUAUCGGUUCUUCUUUUGUGCGGGGCGAGUUGGGCGCAGGGUCCUGUAGCGGCGCCAGCCCCGUCUUUUACACCUGCUGAUGCAAUUCGUAUCGCGUGUGGCUCAGCUUCCGAUGUCAAAAUUGGUACCCGGGUUUUUUUAGCUGACGUUCAAGGUACUGGACAAGGGGUUGCAGGAAGAACAAAUCAGAAUAACGGUGCUUUGUCGGCGUACGCUCCACUUCUCACCUCUGCGAGGUUCUUCACUUCUGCAUUUAACUACAAUUUCACGGUUAGUCCAGGGAGACAUUGGGUUCGCCUGUUCUUCUAUCCAUUUGCGUUCUCAUCUUUUCAGCCGAGUAAUUCAUUCUUUGACAUAAGUACCAAGGAGGUCGGUCUUCUCUCCAACUUCAGCGCAGUGACCUUCGUCACCGCAGACAGCCCUUAUUUUGUUCGAGAGUACUUCCUGAACAUCACUUCAAAGGACCUCGUUCUUACUUUCAUUCCACGGUCAAAUUCGUAUGCUUUCAUAAACGCCAUAGAGAUUGUGUCUGCGCCAGAUGGAAUGGUACAGGGUGGCGCGCCUACACUGGGUGGAGGCAGUCUUACUUACCCUGGCCUGAGCCAGUCGGCCCUGCAGACUAUGUACCGUCUCAAUGUUGGAGGAGGCACCGUUGCACCGGAUGAUGAUUCAGCGAACCUGAGCAGGACGUGGAUUCCAGACACACCCUAUAAACUUCUCAACACUCCAGGAGUGUCGGUAGAGGCAAACGCUACAAAGAUUACGUACACCGAUGUUGCAGAGUAAGUUGCAGCUUGCCCUUGCAUGAACAUGUAACAGGUCUUAUCACUACAUGUGGGUUUACAGUAUCUACGAUUUGCAUCAUUAUGGUGCAGUUGCCAGAAGUUUGUACAGUUGGAGACAUGAGCCAUUAACUCUGACGGGUGCGCUUUUCUUUUGGUCUGAGAAAGAUAUAUUGCUCCUGCUACCGUUUAUGCGAGCGGGCAAGCGUUGGAAGAUAAUGAUGUGGCGAACGCAAAUGCUGCACUCAACUGGAAUUUCACAGUCGACAACAACUUCACUUACUUGGUGCGUUUGCACUUCUGCGAGCUUCAGUACCAGCGGCUCUAUGAGCGGGUUUUCAUUAUUGAGAUAAACCGUGUAGCCAUUUACCAAUUUUUCGACAUCAUAGAAGAAGCCGGAGCUGCCUACACUCCCUUGUACAGAGACUUCAUGGUGCCCAUGAUCAAUACCUAUCCGAAAAUAAAUGUUAGGAUCGCCCCUGACCGUAGUAAUCCAAAUGCCAAGAAUGUUCUGUUGAAUGGUCUGGAGAUUUUCAAGGUUAACAACGCGAACUCCAGUCUUGCAGGUCCCAACCGUAUUAUAGAGCCAAACACUACCUCUGGUGGUACACAAACUACAAAUUCAAGCUCGAGCUCCAACUUAGGUGCCAUCAUCGGUGCGUCCAUCGGAGGCGUAGCCGCUGUUCUUGCGGCGGCUGCGUUGGUCAUCUUUUGUUGCUACAAGAAGAAGACCAAGUCUGACAAGCCUGGCGCACCAAGUCAUUGGCUCCCGCUGCCUCUGCACGGCAGCAGUACUGACCACAGCAAAGUGUCGACUAGUUCGGCGAAGAGUGGGAAGAGUGGUGCAGGAAGUUAUGUUUCUUCAGUUCCAUCCAACCUGGGCAGGUACUUCAGCUUCGCGGAGCUCCAAGAAGCCACGAACAACUUCGACGAGUCUUUGGUUUUGGGAGUGGGUGGAUUCGGCAAGGUGUACAAGGGUGAGACUGAUGAUGGGUCGAAAGUGGCGGUGAAGCGGGGAAACCCCAGGUCAGAGCAGGGUCUAAACGAGUUCCAAACCGAGAUAGAGCUUCUGUCGAAACUCCGACAUCGGCACCUGGUGUCACUGAUAGGGUACUGCGAGGAACACGGUGAGAUGAUUCUUGUAUAUGAUUACAUGGCCAACGGUCCGCUCAGGGGUCACCUGUAUGGAACAGACGAGGCUCCUCUGUCGUGGAAGCAGAGGCUGGAGAUUUGUAUCGGUGCAGCACGAGGAUUGCAUUACCUACACACCGGCGCGGCGCAAGGGAUCAUUCACAGGGAUGUGAAAACCACGAACAUCCUUCUGGACGAGAACUUCGUUGCCAAGGUGGCUGACUUCGGGUUGUCGAAAAUCGGGCCCGCGAAUGAAGUCACGCACGUGAGCACAGCCGUGAAGGGCAGCUUCGGGUACCUGGAUCCCGAGUAUUUCCGCAGACAGCAGCUGACGGAGAAGUCAGACGUGUACUCCUUCGGUGUCGUUCUCAUGGAGGUGCUGUGUGCACGACCGGCAAUCAAUCCGGCCCUUCCUCGAGAGGAGGUGAACUUGGCCGACUGGGCAAUCAAGUACCACAAAGCUGGCAUGCUGGAUAAGAUCGUGGAUGAGAAGCUGCGGGAUACAAUCAACCCCGACUCGUUGAAAACAUUCGGCGACACCGUCGAGAAAUGUCUGCAGGAGCGAGGUAUCGAUCGACCUUCCAUGGGUGACGUCCUGUGGAAUUUGGAGUACGCCUUGCAACUACAUGAAGCAUCUGUGAAGGGCGCCAUGUCCAGCCUUGAUCAAGGGAACUUUAGCACCGACUCUGAUAACAGCCACAUGAUCUCCGUGCCGUUGGUUGCACCCAACCUUUUCGAUGACUCGUUGACGAUGGACAUAGAACGAAGAAUGCUGGAGGAGACCGCGUCCGAGGACCAAUCGGCGAGCGCCAUAUUCUCUCAGUUGAUCAACGCUCAAGGAAGGUAAAGCACAGACGAUAGGGAGUUGAUAAACCACAAGAUGAAGGAGGCGGCGAGUAUCCAGGAAGGGAUUGUCUGACUGCUGUAGACCGAACAAAUGUAGUUGUAGUUGAUGUGGUUUUUUACAUAAAAAAAUAAUAUUUAUGUAUCGCUUCAUUUGGCUAACUUCGAGUUUGAUUGGCAUUGCGCGAGGUCAUCUGGAGUUUGGGUAGUUCUGGGUUUAUCAACAAAACUCUGUUGGCUUUGUUUGUGUUGUGGACACGUUGUAAUCCGCUUCGUUUGUAAUAUGUGUGUGAGGUGUACAUUACGAAGUUUGUCAUGAAAGUUAAGGUGGUUUCACUGAUUCGAUUCAACGUAGGCGAAGUAGUCAAGAAUCUGUUGGCACAGCAGGGUCCAAUGACUGAGCGUUGGAUGGCUAUCAAUCUCGUGCACCAUCUUGUGAAGUAAAAUGCAGGUUCGAAUAAAAGUCACUGCUGGGGUUGUUUCUGUGUUUAUGUUCCAAUGAGAUAUUAAUAUGCGAGUGCCUGUUGUGGCUCGAUCAUAAGCAUCUUUCAGCAAUGUACCUCACUCAUUGUGGUUUACAUAUUACAGAUCUUCCAACUUUUUUAUCCACAUUUUAAGCAUCUCUUUUUAACACCACCCUCCGCCAAUUUGAGCCUCACAAACUGUUUGGUGCCUAUGCAUCUCGUGUGCUGCAUGUAGGUGUGUGUGAUAUUUUCCGGUGUGCUCUGUGGCAUGGAAAUGGCUGUACUUGAGACUGUAGCAGGUUGUGUUGAUUGUUCUCUUUGGGAGCUGCCCGUCGGCCGAAGACAGAAUACGGGGCAUUUUGAUCGCUCCAAAAGGAAGCAUCGAAGGGAAGGGCAUUGCUCCAACGACGCAAGUCUCUGGAUUAUCAGAUUCCACAAACACACCUGAUGAAGUCACAGACGAGGCUGGCACUCUUGUUGGACACGGAUUUUGUGUCCUGAAACUAAAGGUAGGCAUGGCAGACUUUGAUGAACUUCGGUUGAAGUAAUGAUCUACGAACAGGAUCUGUACGAGGCAGAGUCCUGUCCACACUAUUCACAUUUGGAACAGGUAUGGGGCUCACAACCCAAUGACAUCAGCAGACCAACGGCAUGAUGUUUUGUUGAAUGUAGAUGCUCAGCCGACGCAUUUUGUCAGCUGCGGCUUUGGGUGAUUUAAUGCGUUUCUGAUAGGGUAUGGCUACUUGAAUGUCUAUCCAGAUUGGUCGGCGCGCUACUCCACAAUAGGAUGCACCAGUCACACAAUCAGUUAGAGAGGGUGUAGGAGCUGAUGGAAAGGUCUGAGCAGACGCAAUUCGGAAGGGGUCUCACUAACAGGCCACUGAGUUUGCAAAUCUUGUUAAGGAGUGCGACAUAGAAUAUUUAGAGGUACGGAAUCGAACACUUGAUCAUAAGAUGGUCGUUCACUGCAGCAGCACACAUGUUAAGAAGACUCCACCGCAAAGAAAGUACAAUUGUUGUCGGUAGUUAAUGUCAGAGUCGUUUGCAUUAACAAUUAUUUCCCGAGACUCCAGCAAACGUAUAUAAAUCUACUCUUUGACAUCCUUUAUUCGAGUUACUUCGUGCGAAUCAGCGAUGCGUAAUUUAUGUUACUAUCUCCUCUGCACAAGAGCAAUAGUUUCAUUGUUUUAUACUGGAGUGUUAGCAAUGUUCGCUUUUUAAACUUAUUGGAAAGCCUGGAAAUUUCAUGAUACUCGCAAUGUGUACGGGCAUGGAUUUCAGGUGGAUAGCACUUAUCACCAUGUGUAAUCUGAAGCAGUUAUGUCAGUUUUGAGAGAGCAUAUUCGUUUCAGAGGACUUCCUCAAAUUUUUCUCAGGGUGUGGCAUUGUGCAGGAAUAUGUUAAGAUCUCAAAAGAUAUACCGAGAUUUUGUAAGGAGAGUGGGAUACCUAUUGCUUUAGAUGAAAGCGUUGACGAGGAUACAUCGUUCUGGAGUGAAAUGCUUGAAAGAAUUGCAUCAGAGGGCGUAAUGGCUGUUGUAAUUUUUCCUGGUCGCGUGGGAUCGUUUGAACAAGCUGUGUCAUUGCGGAGUGGGCACAUAGCCGAGGCAUAGUAGCUGUUAUCAGCUCAGAUAUGAAAACAAAUAUUGGUUUAACUGCUUAUGCCCAUCUAGUUACUUCUGGUGAUGGAAGGUGUCUAUGGACGCACACAUCGAAUCAACAGAAAACCUCACGGGAUGGUGCUAUUACGCAUGGGCUGGGUACUUACAAGUGGUCUGUUGGAGACCAGUGAGAGGAAGGGGAUCGUAAAAGUUUUACACUCAUGCACAGUGGACAAUGAAGAGGGCCGCGAAUUGACCGAAGGCUGCUGGGAGUGUGUAACAACCACAACGGCGGGCACUAUUUUGAAUGAAUGGAACUCACUUGCUCCAGAUGUUCACCAGCACUGCUUCCACCACGCUGAUGAAUGGUAUUGGUGCCCUUCUCUGUGAGUAAUGUUUACUUUGGUAAUGUUAGGAUUUUGGUAUUGAAGCACUUUGUGGUCUUUCAGUGAUCUUUCAGCUCCUCCACGUCGUUAAUCCAACUCCACCAUCUUUCGGUUUUGACAGAUGUAUGCUCGCCUGGAUCUCCAGCGAUUCGAUCAAUGCGCGUGUCUGCAUAUCCGACGCCCGAGAAGUACCAUUCUGGGCACGGUAUGAUUGUUUUGGUCACAGUAGAUGCUAUUGAAAAUCCAGCCAUUUGCGAGGAUGAGAGAAAUGAACCGAACCCACCUUCAUGUAUCACCUGAGCAACAGCACUCCCAAGAUUCCCUUCACUAAUUUCUAUCGUUGAAACAGUGCCAAUACUUGCUUCCAAUAUGUAAACGAUAGAAGAAAAAAAAUCCACGUAUCUCAAUGCUGAAUAUAAGACUUCAGAACAAAAACGUGACUUUCACACAUAGGAAACUGAAUUGCAUUAUUCCCAUCGGCAAAUUUACAUUUUUCAUGGAAGAUUUUGAGAAAACUUUGAGAUAGUAGCAAAAUCUUUUUGCUCUAUAUUAUCUCCUACAUGGGUCACAAAAAAUUUGCUAAAUUCCAUGUCACAUUCAACCUGGAAGCAUUCGAAGGGAUGGGGGGGAGAUUCUGACGAAAGCAGCAGUGGCUCCGCCUACUCCGUCGACUCGGUCGCGGGAGGCGCACCCCAUGACCGCGAGCACAUGAGCCCCAUUAACUUUGCGCACAUUACGGCACGGUAACAGGAAUCCCACCUUAGAGGCAGACGCCGGUAACAGCGGUGAAGGGGGGGAGAGCGGGACUGGCGAGGAAUGGGGAUUCAUCCAGCUUCAUCGUCAUCGCCGAGCUGAAGCAACUGCACAACCAGCUGUGUUGCUGCUGUUCGAUGCUGGGCAGGACAACCACGCAGCUCACCUGCCUGCCUGUUGAUCUUUUGCUAGGCCCCUCCGAAACCCCGUCCGUCCGUAUCCCGUCAAUGGUCACUUGCACUUGUGUGAAGCCAUAGCCACUGACGCCGUCGCCGCUGCUGCUGCUGCUGCUGCUGCUGAUGGUGUGACCGAUCAAAUGGUUUCGUGACAGUGCCACAGCCCAGGUACUUCGGAUCUUUCCUUUCGACUUACAUUUGGGUUUCAAUCGGUGGAAGGACUGUAUGCGGAGAGCGCGUUUACCGUAUCGAGACUGUGGGGGGUUGUGUUUAGUAACCGGGUGGGUCUCAGAGUGAUCUAUGAGGACUGGGAUGGAGGUCGGAUAUGGCUCCGUGAGGUGAGAAUGCCGGUAUUGUAGCUUAUAUUUGUGCCUGUCAGGGUUGGAAACGAGGGUUAAGGGUUUCGUAUUUGUGUGUGUGUGUGUGUGUGUUUCGGAGAGCUGCCCGGAGGCGACGGGGUGUCGUGUUUCGCUUGAAGCCUUACAAUGUUCGCUUCAGCUCUUCGGUAGAGCAUAUGGGUCAUGAUGGAAGUGAGGAAGGGUUCCCAGAGUUCACCACGAUUGUUUCUUGACCAUAGUGAUACCCUCAAAUGCUUCGCCGCGACUGCGAGGGGCUGGUUGUGGAACAGUAGGUUAGAGAAUGUGUCUUGUAAUGCAUGCGAUAGGCCACAUUCAUUUGCCAUUCACGAUACGACAAUGGCUGGCAUCGUCUGGUGUCUCGGAGAGUGCUUUGUACUGUUCGUAAACGAUUUUGGCCCGUGCGUUAUCAUUGAAAUGCUCACUUGUACUCUGCUUUAGCGGUUCUUAUAGUCAUCUGCUCAGUGUCGUUUUCUUAAACCAGGGCAAAAAUGCCUGCAACCUAGAUGGUUGAUCCUGCGAACUUAACUAUGUCCAGCGUUGCAAGCCUCGGUUUUAUGUGUUUUGGACCAGUGUGCUUGUUCUUCCUUGUUCCGAGUCAGACAACCUUCCUAGUCGGAAUGUUAACAUUUCUAUCACACACUGAAUUCUGUGGUAGUAGCGUCCAUGCCGAAUGAAGUGGACUUGUAACAUCAGCUGAAAUAUUCGUUGUAAAAUCUGCACCCGAUUCUUCUCGGCUAUUUGGAUGAAACGAGGGUGACCUAGACUCUGAAUGUGCAGGAGUCUUGUUCAUGUGAUAACUGCAGUUUUGGGUUGUUUCUCGUGCUACAAAUGAUCUGUUACUGAAGCAAGCCAGCUGUUUCAGUUCGGAGUAAUUGGUGAUCAAGGUGAUGAGGCGGAAUUCUAACGCCUUGUAUGGCUGCAGAUCCAGGUGUAGUAACGAGUUCUGCACCGUAGAGACGGUGUGAUGUAAGCAACCAGGGGUUGGUAUUUUCCGGUCGACAGAGUUGUAAGAGGAGAAUUACAGAGAUACUCGGAUACAUUUGAGAAGCAAUCGGAGGCGUGGUUCUGACCACGCCAAAUCAGACAUUCAGAGCAGCUCUGGUGCUCCACGGAAAGGACAUAUCAGGGAAAAUGGGCUAUGACAGAUGUAUACAGAUUCUAUCGGUUCUUCUUUUGUGCGGGGCGAGUUGGGCGCAGGGUCCUGUAGCGGCGCCAGCCCCGUCUUUUACACCUGCUGAUGCAAUUCGUAUCGCGUGUGGCUCAGCCUCCGAUGUCAAAAUUGGCACACGGGUAUUUGCAGCUGACAAUGUUCCAGGAACAAUAAAAGGAAUUGCGGGAACGACUCUUCAGAAUAACGGUGCUUUGUCGGCGUACGCUCCACUUCUCAC
rnacentral:lncRNA from 1 species